UAAUUUGAGAGUUUGAUCCUGGCUCAGGACGAACGCUGGCGGCGUGCCUAAUACAUGCAAGUCGAACGAACUCUGGUAUUGAUUGGUGCUUGCAUCAUGAUUUGCAUUUGAGUGAGUGGCGAACUGGUGAGUAACACGUGGGAAACCUGCCCAGAAGCGGGGGAUAACACCUGGAAACAGAUGCUAAUACCGCAUAACAACUUGGACCGCAUGGUCCGAGUUUGAAAGAUGGCUUCGGCUAUCACUUUUGGAUGGUCCCGCGGCGUAUUAGCUAGAUGGUGGGGUAACGGCUCACCAUGGCAAUGAUACGUAGCCGACCUGAGAGGGUAAUCGGCCACAUUGGGACUGAGACACGGCCCAAACUCCUACGGGAGGCAGCAGUAGGGAAUCUUCCACAAUGGACGAAAGUCUGAUGGAGCAACGCCGCGUGAGUGAAGAAGGGUUUCGGCUCGUAAAACUCUGUUGUUAAAGAAGAACAUAUCUGAGAGUAACUGUUCAGGUAUUGACGGUAUUUAACCAGAAAGCCACGGCUAACUACGUGCCAGCAGCCGCGGUAAUACGUAGGUGGCAAGCGUUGUCCGGAUUUAUUGGGCGUAAAGCGAGCGCAGGCGGUUUUUUAAGUCUGAUGUGAAAGCCUUCGGCUCAACCGAAGAAGUGCAUCGGAAACUGGGAAACUUGAGUGCAGAAGAGGACAGUGGAACUCCAUGUGUAGCGGUGAAAUGCGUAGAUAUAUGGAAGAACACCAGUGGCGAAGGCGGCUGUCUGGUCUGUAACUGACGCUGAGGCUCGAAAGUAUGGGUAGCAAACAGGAUUAGAUACCCUGGUAGUCCAUACCGUAAACGAUGAAUGCUAAGUGUUGGAGGGUUUCCGCCCUUCAGUGCUGCAGCUAACGCAUUAAGCAUUCCGCCUGGGGAGUACGGCCGCAAGGCUGAAACUCAAAGGAAUUGACGGGGGCCCGCACAAGCGGUGGAGCAUGUGGUUUAAUUCGAAGCUACGCGAAGAACCUUACCAGGUCUUGACAUACUAUGCAAAUCUAAGAGAUUAGACGUUCCCUUCGGGGACAUGGAUACAGGUGGUGCAUGGUUGUCGUCAGCUCGUGUCGUGAGAUGUUGGGUUAAGUCCCGCAACGAGCGCAACCCUUAUUAUCAGUUGCCAGCAUUAAGUUGGGCACUCUGGUGAGACUGCCGGUGACAAACCGGAGGAAGGUGGGGAUGACGUCAAAUCAUCAUGCCCCUUAUGACCUGGGCUACACACGUGCUACAAUGGAUGGUACAACGAGUUGCGAACUCGCGAGAGUAAGCUAAUCUCUUAAAGCCAUUCUCAGUUCGGAUUGUAGGCUGCAACUCGCCUACAUGAAGUCGGAAUCGCUAGUAAUCGCGGAUCAGCAUGCCGCGGUGAAUACGUUCCCGGGCCUUGUACACACCGCCCGUCACACCAUGAGAGUUUGUAACACCCAAAGUCGGUGGGGUAACCUUUUAGGAACCAGCCGCCUAAGGUGGGACAGAUGAUUAGGGUGAAGUCGUAACAAGGUAGCCGUAGGAGAACCUGCGGCUGGAUCACCUCCUUU
rnacentral:rRNA from 2 species